ensembl:lncRNA
GUGGAGAGGCCCCUGACAUUUCACUUCAUCCCUAUUAGCAAAAUAUUAAUUAUAGAUAAGGAAAAUAUGUUGCCCAGAAAACACCUGGAAAUAAUUGACAAAUGUAUGCGACUUAGAUCAGAACGUAAUUGCCCUGAUUCGACCUAUGCAGCUUUUUUUUGAAAACUGACGUCGCUUGUUUAAGUAAUAGUGUUGGCUACCAGAUGUAAAACCUCCCAGGCUAGCUUCCUUUUCCAUCUGAGCUCAGGCAUAUCACAAAGGCUCUCUAAUGUGGGGGGAUACCAGUAAAAUAGUGAUGAAAACCAUAGGUACGAAUAUCUGCAAGUGGCUCACAUGAAAGUAUUUAUUGUUUUUCAUGCAUGAGCAUUAAACCAUAGUGAAAAGCAAACCUUGAUUGAAAAUGCAUUAAUUAUUUGACACUGGUUUUCCUCAGUCUUUUUUUUCCCCCUUUUUUUUUUUUUCUUUUUGCUAUGGGAUGCAAGUGAAAGAUUACAGCUGAAAAAAUGAUCAUCAUACUUGAGUUUACUUUGUAGCAAAAAAUAAGAAACAAAUUCCUUGCUUGUUGAGAAUAAAUAAGAAGACGGUUUUCCUGAAGAUAAUUCGACUAGAGCACUUUCCCAACGAUCAGUGACACAUGAGGAAGCCCACAAUUUCACAGGAGUUAGCAGUGAGUGGUGUGCAAAUGCAGAAGGCACAAGGUGGAGGAGAAAAGGAAGAAGGAAGGGGAAAAAAAGGAAGGAAUCAAGAUAUUCUACAAAAUCAAGCUGUAUUUGGACCUUCUUGAAUGUCUCCAUUCGACAUUUGGACACUCAAGGACUUCCAUUUAUUCUACUACAUUAUUUGCACAUCCUCGUCCUUACAAAGCUUUCUAUUAAGUUGGUAGACUUCUAAAUACUGGCAUGGAUAUAGAAAUAUAUGUAUAUAUAUAUAUGUAUAUAUAUAUAUAUGUAAUUGAAAGGUAAAUUAUAGCCUUUGUUUUCACAUUGCUUGGGCAUAACAUCAUAGACAUUUUUUACAGCAUUAUUUCUUUGAAAGUCAUCAGUUUCUGCCUGUUCUUACUGUAACUUAUUCAAGUCUAACCUUUCCUUGAAAUCUCAUUUUAAAAUAAUGUUUGUAUUAAUGGCCUAUUAACAGGCUGUCAUUUAAAAUAAGGUUAAAUGUUUAAAAAGUAAGACCAAGCUUAAACCAUUGUUCCGAAAAAUCUUUCAUUUAUUGCAUUCCUUGUGGCUAUUUAAAGACAAAAUUGUAUAGUUAGAGGAUAAAUUACAAAUACAGUAGCCUGUUGUAUUAUUAUAUGAAAUAAUGAAAACUGUGCUGAAAUUUGUAAUAUUAAUUAAGCCUUUUGACUAUUAAUUAAGACUUU